rnacentral:rRNA from 1 species
UACGGGGGAGCAAGCGUUGUUCGGAUUUACUGGGCGUAAAGGGCGCGUAGGCGGCCAGCGCAAGUCAGUUGUGAAAUCUCCGGGCUUAACUCGGAAGGUCAACUGAUACUGCGCGGCUAGAGUGCAGAAGGGCAACUGGAAUUCUCGGUGUAGCGGUGAAAUGCGUAGAUAUCGAGAGGAACACCUGCGGCGAAGCGGUUGCUGGGCUGACACUGACGCUGAUGCGCGAAAGCCAGGGAGCGAACGGG